rnacentral:rRNA from 1 species
AACGAACGCUGGCGGCAUGCCUAACACAUGCAAGUCGAACGAGACCUUCGGGUCUAGUGGCGCACGGGUGCGUAACGCGUGGGAACCUGCCCUUAGGUUCGGAAUAACUCCCCGAAAGGGGUGCUAAUACCGGAUAAUGUCUUCGGACCAAAGAUUUAUCGCCUUUGGAUGGGCCCGCGUUGGAUUAGCUAGUUGGUAGGGUAAAAGCCUACCAAGGCGACGAUCCAUAGCUGGUCCGAGAGGAUGAUCAGCCACACUGGGACUGAGACACGGCCCAGACUCCUACGGGAGGCAGCAGUGGGGAAUAUUGGACAAUGGGCGAAAGCCUGAUCCAGCAAUGCCGCGUGAGUGAUGAAGGCCUUAGGGUUGUAAAGCUCUUUUAACCGGGAUGAUAAUGACAGUACCGGGAGAGUAAGCUCCGGCUAACUCCGUG